AUGACUCACUGCAGCCUUGAUCUCCUGGCCUCAGGUGAUCCUCCCACCUCAGCACUUUGGGAGGCCGAGGCGGGUGGAUCACGAGGUCAAGAGAUCAAGACUAUCCUGGUCAACAAGAUGACUAAAAAUACAAAAAUUAGCUGGGCAUGGUGGUGCGUGCCUAUAGUUUCAGCUACUCGGGAGGCUGAGGCAGGAGAAUUGCUUGAACCCAGGAGGUGGAGGUUGCAGUGAGCUGAGAUUGUGCCAUUGCAGUCCAGUCUGGGUAACAACAGCGAAACUCCAUGUCAAAAAAAAAAGAGAAUUACCUACUCGAUGAAGCAAACAAAACCCUGCAUGUGGACAUCGAUUUCAAAGCUAUAUUAUUCUCUCCAGAUGGUCUGCACUCCUAGAACCUGGGGACCUCGUCAGGAAAUGUUACUUGGAUUGGAAUUAGUGAGAAUAUACCAAAAUUUAGGAAUCUUGCCCAUCGAGGAGAUAACAUGUGAGAGUGCUGCUGAUGAAAUGAAGGAGCUUCCUUUUAGAUAAGAGUUAGGCAGGACUGGCUUUAUAAGACAGCUCACAAAGUCACUGCUGAUAAAAUAUACCUUAAAGAAGCUGCUCAAACCCUACCCAAACCAAGAUGGCCAGGAAAACGACCUCUGGUCAUUCUCACUGCUCUUCAUAUGUAAAUUAUGAACAUUAGCAUGGUAAAAGAAACUCCCACAGAUGCAAUGACAAUUUACCAACACCAUGGCAACGUCCAGAAAUUACCCUCUAUGCUCUGAAAGAAAGAGAAACCCUGGGUUCCAGGAAUUCCCUGUCACUUUCCUGGAAAACUCAUGAAGAAUACACUUCUUGUUUAGCAUAUGAUCAAUAAAUAACCAUAAAUAACCUCACGGCUGCUAUGCCUAUGGAGUAGCCUCCCUUUAUUUAUUUAUUUAUUUAUUUAUUUAUUUUUGGGUCGGAGUUUCGCUCUUGUUGCCCAAGCUGGAGUGCGAUGGCGUGAUCUUGGCUCACCUAAACUCUGCCUCCUGGGUACAAGUGAUUCUCCAGCCUCAGCCUCCUGAGUAGCUGGGAUUACAGGCACACACCCCCAUGCACAGCUAAUUUUUUGUAAUUUUAGUAGAAAGGGGGGGUUUCACCAUGUUAGCCAGGCUUGUCUUGAACUCCUGACCUCAGAUGAUCUGCCCACCUCCACCUCCCAAAGUGCUAGGAUUACAGGUGUGAGGCACUGUGAGGGAUCUGUGGGGAUUGCUCCCGUGUGAGGCCCCUAGGAAAUGGGCCUCGCCAUACGGUGAGCUUGAGCCCGGACACAGAUCCCCUGUUGGGGGAGUCGAGCUGAGGGAAAGCAGGAACUGAGAGAGGGACUAUGCUAUUCAAAAUAAUUAACAGACAUUACUUUAUGGAUAUGAGGACUUGGGAGGCAUUGUGUCCACUUUCGGCUCCUUAUGGUUUAUUGCUUGGUUGUGUUCAUUUUCGACCCUUGUUACCUUCAUUGUAAAAUAUUAACUUAAGUAUUUACACUUGGUAACUUACUUACCGUAACUUACUGGGUGUAACUGUAACUUACUUACCAUAACUUACUGGGCAUAACUGACUUACUGGGCUUAACUAACUUACUGGGCAUAACUUAGUGGGCAUAACUUGCUUACUGUAACUUAAGUAUGUUGAUCUGGCAUAAACAACAUUAACGUAAGAAAACUAUAUAAUGGAACAUAUUGCAAAAAUAAAAUUGCUGCUUGGACAUAGCCUAAGCCAGCCCUCCAGACUCUGCUUUUCUUUUUUCUUUCACUUCCACACACUCUCUCCCUCAGGUUGAACAAGACAUCUACGUUGGAGGUCUCGGGGACUCCCGCAGGUCGGUAGCCCCCCGGCAGACGUGCCGGACCCCAACACACUGUACCCAGCCUAUUUGUUUUUUAUUUAUUUAUUUAUUUUUUGUUUUUUUUUUUUUUUAGAUGGAGUCUCACUCUGUCGUCCUGGCUGAAAGUGCAGCGAUGUGAUCUUGGCUCACUGCACUUCCAGGUUCAAGCAAUUCUCUUGAGUAUCUGAGAUUAUAGGCAUGCCACCUGGCCAGGCUAAUUUUUGUAUUUUUAGUAGAGACGGGUUUCACCAUGUUGGUCAGGCUGGUCUUGAACUCCUGACCUUGUGAUCGAUCCACCUGCCUUGGCCUCCGAAAGUGCUGGGAUUACAGUCAUGAGCCAUUGUGUCUGGCUAUUUAUUUUUUUUGUUUUUUUAAAGAUAGUCUCACUCUGUCACCCAGGCCGGAGAGCAGUGGUGUGAGCUUGGCUCAUUGUAACCCCAUCUCCUGUGUUCAAGCUGGCUAAAACCCACCAAAACCAAGAUGGUGAUAAGAGUGACCUCUGGGUGUCCUGACUGGUACAAUUCUACCAGGACCAUGACACUUUGCUGUGCCAACUGUCACAAAUGCCAUUGCAAUGUCAGGAAGUUACCACAUAUGGUCUAAAAAAGGAGGAAUGAAUUAAUCUAUCCCUUGUUUAGCAUAUAAUCAAGAAAUAACCAUAAAAAUGGGCAACCAGCCACCCUCAGGGCUGCUCUGUCUGUGGAGUAGACAUUCUUUCAUUCCUUUACUUUCCUAAUAAACUCACUUUCACUUACUCUACCAACUCUCCCUGAAUUCUUUCUUGCAUGAGAUCCAAGAAUCCUC
rnacentral:lncRNA from 1 species